GAUGAACGCUGGCGGCGUGCCUAACACAUGCAAGUCGUACGAGCUCGAUCUUCGGAACGGGUUAGUGGCGCACGGGUGAGUAACACGUAGGUGACCUACCCCAGAGUGGGGGAUAACUUCUCGAAAGAGAGGCUAAUACCGCAUACACUCGGUCAUUCAUUUGGCCGAGCAAAGCUCCGGCGCUUUGGGACGGGCCUGCGUCCGAUUAGCUAGUUGGUAGGGUAAUGGCUUACCAAGGCUUUGAUCGGUAGCUGGUCUGAGAGGACGAUCAGCCACACUGGCACUGACACACGGGCCAGACUCCUACGGGAGGCAGCAGUGAGGAAUAUUGGGCAAUGGGCGAAAGCCUGACCCAGCAACGCCGCGUGAGGGAUGAAGGCCUUCGGGUUGUAAACCUCUUUCUGGAGAAGAGACAAGGACGGUAUCCCAGGAAUAAGUACUCGGCUAACUACGUGCCAGCAGCCGCGGUAAU
rnacentral:rRNA from 1 species